rnacentral:rRNA from 1 species
CCUACGGGUGGCAGCAGUCGGGAAUAUUGCGCAAUGGAGGAAACUCUGACGCAGUGACGCCGCGUGCAGGAAGAAGGUUUUCGGGUUUUAAACUUCUUUAGACAGGGAAGAAAAAAGACAGUACCUGUAGAAUAAGCUCCGGCUAACUACGUUCCAGCAGCCGCGGUAAUACGGAGGGCACACGCGUUAUCCGGAUGUAUUGGGUGUAAAGGGUGCGUAGACGGGGAAGCAAGUCAGUUGUGAAAUCCCUCGGCUUAACUGAGGAACUGCAACUAAAACUAGUUCCCUUGAGUACUGGAGAGGAAAGUGGAAUUCCUAGUGUAGCGGUGAAAUGCGUAGAUAUUAGGAGGAACACCAGUGGCGAAGGCGACUUUCUGGACAGUAACUGACGUUGAGGCACGAAAGUGUGGGGAGCAAACAGGAUUAGAUACCCGGGUAGUC